GUAACCGCUAAAUAACAAUCGCGAAGCUAUAAAGGCCGAGUCUCGCUGCUGAUCAGCUCAAACCGUUCCUGGCGUUUGGUGAGAAUAGACCUACAAUUCAAUUAGCUCCGCCUUCUCUCGCCUUUUUUCUUUCAGGUCCUGAUGGGAUCCUGCUUGGGCCGUUGCGUUGGGGGAAGGGAAUCCCGCCGACAUGGGCGGAAGGCCACUGCGGAAGUUGGCACGGGGGAUCGGAGGGUGGCCAAUGAGCAGACCCCGAGGAAUAUGGUGACAAAACCGACCGACUAUGACGGACGCGACGAGGUGGUUCCGAAGCCGGAUCCACCGGAGUCGGAACAAAAUUACUUUUCUCUUGACAUUUUGGAAAAUUCCGAUUCUCCGGUGGAUUCGGUUCCGGGACCAUCGAAAAUGGACAAUUUAUUAAAUGAAUCUUUGGAACAAACCGCGGCGGUUCUACCGAUUGUGGAAUCGUCUGCGGAUGUAAAUUUUAUUUCUCUUUCAGAUUCAAUGGGGUGGUUUUUGGGUGACGAAGCCGUUACGUUGGUUCCGGUGGUGGUGAUUCCGAUGCCGGAUUCACCGGAAGAUGGUUCCGGUGUGAAUCCGGAACCGGAACCACCGACACAAAUUGAACCCAUUUCCCAAAAUUUAAAUUUUUCGGCAUCAUUUCUUUCCAAAAUUGACAUUUCAGGCUCCUGUCAAAAUUUGGGUUCGGCUACUGUUCCAUGGUUGCUACGAUCGGAGCAUUCGAAAUUUGUCAGUUUGGUACUUUUUUUGCUUUGUGGCAUGACGUGUACUUUUUACGUUGCUGUUGCAUACUUUUAUUGGUUUUACUGUUUGCGGUUAUUGUUAUCUGUUCUUGAUUAAUCGUUUUUGUUCUUGUUUCUAUUUUCAUGAGAGGUUCCCUGUUACUGGCGUUACUGGCGUUACUGAAGUUGGAUAGUUAUCGAUGUUACUGUGGCUGAAUUUGGAGAAACUAUUGUGAUCGAGUGAAGACCGACUGGCGGACCGACCAAUCGGAAGGGUUGAAAUUGAUGGAAUUAUCGAUUGUCUUGGCGAGGAUCCAAUUUGUGGAGUGCGCGAUGGAUAUCCGGAGCAGCAGUUUGGUGGCUGGAACUGAAGCAUUAGUUUUAGUUAAUGACAUGUACGAUUGAAUUGUAAUGUUUUCUCGUAAU